GAGUUUGAUCCUGGCUCAGGACGAACGCUGGCGGCGCGCCUAACACAUGCAAGUCGAACGAGCGAGAGAGAGCUUGCUUUCUCGAGCGAGUGGCGAACGGGUGAGUAACGCGUGAGGAACCUGCCUCAAAGAGGGGGACAACAGUUGGAAACGACUGCUAAUACCGCAUAAGCCCACAGCUCGGCAUCGAGCAGAGGGAAAAGGAGCAAUCCGCUUUGAGAUGGCCUCGCGUCCGAUUAGCUGGUUGGUGAGGUAACGGCCCACCAAGGCGACGAUCGGUAGCCGGACUGAGAGGUUGAACGGCCACAUUGGGACUGAGACACGGCCCAGACUCCUACGGGAGGCAGCAGUGGGGAAUAUUGCACAAUGGGGGAAACCCUGAUGCAGCGACGCCGCGUGGAGGAAGAAGGUCUUCGGAUUGUAAACUCCUGUUGUUGAGGAAGAUAAUGACGGUACUCAACAAGGAAGUGACGGCUAACUACGUGCCAGCAGCCGCGGUAAAACGUAGGUCACAAGCGUUGUCCGGAAUUACUGGGUGUAAAGGGAGCGCAGGCGGGAAGGCAAGUUGGAAGUGAAAUCCAUGGGCUCAACCCAUGAACUGCUUUCAAAACUGUUUUUCUUGAGUAGUGCAGAGGUAGGCGGAAUUCCCGGUGUAGCGGUGGAAUGCGUAGAUAUCGGGAGGAACACCAGUGGCGAAGGCGGCCUACUGGGCACCAACUGACGCUGAGGCUCGAAAGUGUGGGUAGCAAACAGGAUUAGAUACCCUGGUAGUCCACACCGUAAACGAUGAUUACUAGGUGUUGGAGGAUUGACCCCUUCAGUGCCGCAGUUAACACAAUAAGUAAUCCACCUGGGGAGUACGACCGCAAGGUUGAAACUCAAAGGAAUUGACGGGGGCCCGCACAAGCAGUGGAGUAUGUGGUUUAAUUCGACGCAACGCGAAGAACCUUACCAAGUCUUGACAUCCUGCGACGGUGCUGGAAACAGUACUUUCCUUCGGGACGCAGAGACAGGUGGUGCAUGGUUGUCGUCAGCUCGUGUCGUGAGAUGUUGGGUUAAGUCCCGCAACGAGCGCAACCCUUAUGGUCAGUUACUACGCAAGAGGACUCUGGCCAGACUGCCGUUGACAAAACGGAGGAAGGUGGGGAUGACGUCAAAUCAUCAUGCCCUAUAUGACUUGGGCUACACACGUACUACAAUGGCGUUAAACAAAGAGAAGCAAGACCGCGAGGUGGAGCAAAACUCAGAAACAACGUCCCAGUUCGGACUGCAGGCUGCAACUCGCCUGCACGAAGUCGGAAUUGCUAGUAAUCGCAGAUCAGCAUGCUGCGGUGAAUACGUUCCCGGGCCUUGUACACAC
rnacentral:rRNA from 1 species